rnacentral:rRNA from 1 species
AUGACAGACUUCCAAAACCUCUCUGCACAAACUGAAUGCUUAAACCGCGCCCACCUAAUUCUGCUGCCAAAAAUAGAAGAAGCAAAUACACCAGGAUCCUACCGCCCGAUCUCUCUCCAAAACUGUCCCGUUAAAGCCGCCGCCAAGAUCCUCACCAACAGAUUAAAACCGCUGAUCCCGCUGCUUGUUUAUGGAAACCAGACUGGCUUUAUCUCAGGCCGUUGCAUCGUGGAAAACUUUAUCUAUGCUACGGACCUUAUCGACUCCUGCCAUAAUCGAAAAGCCCCAACCAUGGUCAUAAAACUAGACUUCUCAAAAGCCUUCGACACUCUCUCCUGGGAAUCUCUCCACGCCAUCCUCCACUACCGCGGCUUCCCGCCAAAAUUCACGGCUUGGAUCCAGGAUAUCUUCUCAACAUGAAAAACGACCGUCAUGCUGAACGGGCUCCCAGGAAACUGGAUAAACUACAAGAACGGACUCAGACAAGGAGACCCCAUAUCACCCUACCUUUUCAUCAUCGUUGCUGACCUCCUUCAACAAAUGAUCACACAACACUGCGACGCUCGGCACGUAACACACCCCCUGUUCACACACCUGCCACCGACCGUUCUACAAUAUGCCGAUGACACCCUCAUAAUCGCCAAGGCAUCCAAUGACGCCGCCAUGCAGCUAAAACACAUUCUCCAAAAUUUUGCAAUGGCUACAGGCCUCACGAUAAACUACACAAAAAUUACUUUCGUACCUAUGCAUGUUUACCUUUCUGUGGCAGACUCCAUUGCUACCACCUUGCAAUGCACAACCUCAACCUUUCCACAAAUCUACCUAGGCCUCCCCCUGGCACCGACCCUUCUACCCCCAAACGCCUUUCUACCCAUUAUCGAACGAUGCCGAAAAUUCUUGUCAGGUUGGCGAGCAAAAAUCCUAUCCAAGGGCGACCGGCUCAUCCUUCUGUCUGCUGUCCUUGACUCCAUCUUAGUAUAUUUUAUGCCAGUCUUUCUCAUCCCAAAAAGUGUGCUAAAAACCCUAGACUCCAUACGUCGUGCUUUCUUCUGGGCCACAGAGGAAACUUGCACCGGUGCUCAAUGCUUAGUUGCCUGGAAAAAUGUUAGUAAGCCCAAAAGCUAG